rnacentral:rRNA from 1 species
UACGUAGGGGGCAAGCGUUGUCCGGAUUUAUUGGGCGUAAAGCGCGUGUAGGCGGCCAGGUAGGUCCGUUGUGAAAACUCGAGGCUCAACCUCGAGACGUCGACGGAAACCAUCUGGCUAGAGUCCGGAAGAGGAGAGUGGAAUUCCGUGGUGUAGCGGUGAAAUGCGCAGAUAUCAGGAAGAACACCCGUGGCGAGGGCGGCUCUCUGGGACGGUACUGACGCUGAGACGCGAAAGCGUGGGAGCGAACAGGAUGAGAUACCGGUGUAGCUCCGAUACCCAAGUACUCGUCGA